rnacentral:rRNA from 1 species
AACGAACGCUGGCGGCAUGCCUAACACAUGCAAGUCGAACGAGACCUUCGGGUCCAGUGGCGCACGGGUGCGUAACGCGUGGGAACCUGCCCUUAGGUUCGGAAUAACUCCCCGAAAGGGGUACUAAUACCGGAUAAUGUCUUCGGCCCAAAGAUUUAUCGCCUUUGGAUGGGCCCGCGUUGGAUUAGCUAGUUGUUAGGGUAAAAGACUACCAAGGCGACGAUCCAUAGCUGGUCUGAGAGGAUGAUCAGCCACACUGGGACUGAGACACGGCCCAGACUCCUACGGGAGGCAGCAGUGGGGAAUAUUGGACAAUGGGCGAAAGCCUGAUCCAGCAAUGCCGCGUGAGUGAUGAAGGCCUUAGGGUUGUAAAGCUCUUUUACCCGGGAUGAUAAUGACAGUACCGGGAGAAUAAGCUCCGGCUAACUCCGUG